GAGAUAUUCAGAAGUGCAGCUCUCACACACAGCUGGGUUUUAUUUUCUCUGUGCAGUUUUAUGAUGUGGACAGCAUCUGCGACAGAAAAGGGAUACAUGUUACCGUUGUUUGGAUGUGCUUCCUAACUGUCACACUGGAUACGCUGCAGCCCUGACAAUGAUGGCGGUGAGGAGGAGACUGCUCCCCUGCGCGUGUCUGGGGCUGCUGGGUCUCCUGUGCUGGGUCUUGGUCUCCGGUGCCUUUUCCCCUGAGACGGAGCACCAAAUGGAGUUCAUGGACGCCAGUGAGCUGGGAGCUUUUCAGCCGCAGAGUGCCCUGUCAGACAUGGAGUUCUCAGCCAUCAGCUCAUACCGUGGCCCUGGCAACAAGGACCAGCGUAGCAACAAGGAGCUACCCAUUCUGCUGUGGUGGAGCGCGGGACUCUUCCCCCACUUUCCCGGGGACACGGAGCGCAUCGACUGUGCCACUUCUUCGUGCAUGGCCACGAGUAAUCGCAAGGUCCAGCACCACAAGAGGACGGCUUCCAUCAUCUUCUACGGGACGGACUUCCGGGCGUACGAGGCGCCGCUCCCCCGGCCGCCCCACCAGACCUGGGCGCUGUUCCACGAGGAGUCGCCCAUGAACAACUACCUGCUCUCCCACGGGCCGGGCAUCCGCCUGUUCAACCACACGGCCACCUUCAGCCGGGGCUCGGACUACCCGCUGACGCUGCAGUGGCUGCCCACCCUCAGCUACCUGCUGCAGCCCGCCGCCGUGCCACUGCGGGAGAAGAACCUGUGGCGGGCCAAGGGCCUGGCCCCCGUGCUCUACAUGCAGUCCCACUGCGACGUGCCCUCGGACCGAGACCGCUACGUCCGGGAGCUCAUGAAGUACAUCGAGGUGGACUCCUACGGGAAGUGCCUGAACAACAAGGCGCUGCCGGCGGAGCUGGAGGACACGGCCACGGCCACCGGCGAGGAGCCACGCUUCAUGAGCUUCGUGGCGCGCUACAAGUUCCACCUGGCGCUGGAGAACGGCCUGUGCUCCGACUACAUGACGGAGAAGCUGUGGCGCCCGCUGCACCAGGGCUGCGUGCCCGUCUACCGGGGCUCGCCGUCGGUGGCCGACUGGAUGCCCAACGGCCGCGCCGUGGUGCUGGUCGACGACUUCUCCUCCCCCGAGGAGCUGGCCGCCCUCCUGCGGCGCCUGGACCAGGACGACGAGGCCUACGCCCGCUACCUGGAGUACAAGGCCCCCGACGGCGGCGGCGUCGCCAACGCCCGCCUGCUGGAGCGGCUGGAGGCCCGGGAGUGGGGCGUGAACGACAUGAGCAAGCCCAACUACCUCAACGGGUUCGAGUGCUACGUGUGCGACCGGGAGAACGCCCGCCUGGCCGCCGAGCGGGCCCAUCGGCGGGCGCCGCAGCAGGCCCCGCCUCCGCCGCCGGCCAAGAUGGCCAACAACUCCCACAUGGGCUGUCCGCUGCCCAGGCCGGGGUACGGAGACAUCGGAGACGUCCCGCCUGAUGAUGGAUGGUUGCAAAUAUGGCCCCUGGAUUACUGGCAAAGCCUGGACCAAGCAGAAGGUCUGGAGUCUCUGAUUAGACAUAAUGAGUCGGACCCUUCGCUCCUGUGGCAGCACAUCCAGAACAUCGCUGUGAGGAGAGCCAGAGGGAAGCACUGACACUUUGACGGACAGAAGAUGGGUCACAGCAGGAUUCACCCACGGUGCCCUGUGGCGACUGUUGGGAGGUCGUGUUCUCCCUCUGUUACAAUGACCGAAUAAUACAUCCAUCAGUUAGGGGAGGGUUCUUAAGAGUUAUAUUUUAAUAUUUAGAGUAUUAGCAUACUUUUUCACAAUUCCUGAAUAUUUUAAUUGUAAUCAGUGAAUCAAUUCCCCGACACAAUCAUUCCUUCGUUACUGAAACCUAUUAUAUAUACAUACCUCUGACAGUAUUGAAUAUAUCAGUAUUACAUUUUUACAUCUAAAACUCUUUAUUCGGGUUCAUUGGAUCUCUUUAUCGAUUCUUGACUAGAAAUCGUACAGAAUACUAAAAGGGCUGCUCACUGGCAUUCCUGCCUCUCACGACAUGGGCUCAGCACCCCAGUCAGAGGUGUGUGUGUGUGUGUGUGUGUGUGUGUGUGUGUGUGUGUGUGUGUGUGUGUGUCCCUUCACAGGGUACCUAUAGCCCUCCACCUUCAGGGCAUCUGUGCUAUUUGGAGCUCCUCAAUUGCCCGUAUUGUGUGCGAAUGACUCUGUACCGGCCUGGGAUCCCAUCCAGAGGAGCUGUUGACCUUUGCAGUCUAUUGUCCAGACCUUUCAGGCUUGGUCGGCACAGUCAUCCAGGAAAAAAAUGAUGAAGGGACGGACAAUACUUCAACACUAUGGCAUACAAAUGUAAAAUGACCUGGGGGGGGGGGUCGUUCUAGGCCUAUACCUGUGUUAUGACUAUCAAAGACUGUACCUUUUGCAAAAAGCUGAAUAUGCUCUUUUGUUAUGCACAGCAGGUAGUUGCAUAAUCUUAAACUGCAUUAACAUAUUGUCUGACUAAUUAAGGAUGUUGAGAUAUGCAAUGAAAAUGGUGUCUGACUGAGGGAUAUUAAGAAAACAGGCAAAUGUAAUAUUUACAAAAGUUAAGUUCAGAAUUCCUAGAGGAAGUUAAUCCAUGUGCAAUAGCUUCAAGGGACAUCUCACUGGCACUGUAAUGUAUAAAAUCGCCUGCAACUAUUGAGGAAUUGCAGAUGUUCCACUAGCCUAACCUUAGUUCACCAUCUGUGCAAUAUGUUAAUUUUCAAAUUGGGAAUUGCCUCCCUUUAAAAUAUGCAGCCUGUAGACUUAAUAAUCAUGUGCAUGGGGCUGUCGUUACCAGCCAGAUAAACACACAUUUAUAAGGGGAUUCUGUAAAUCACUUUAUUUUAAAAGCAAAGGAUCACAGAAAGUGAACAUAUUUUGUACAUCAAGAAAUAAAAAGUUAACUUUUUAUAAAAAUGAUUUUAUGUAUAUUCAUCCCAAUUACUACCAUAUGGUGUAUUGUACCCAAAAACCAGCUUUAGUCUAUUCACAGUUUCAUUGUGUGUGAGACAAAUCCUUCGUAGUGCACUGGAACAGACACCAUAUUCACCAUCGGAGAGA